rnacentral:tRNA from 1 species
GGGGUUCCGUAAGUGCUUGCUCUGGAAUGGGUUUACAGCCGCCCCCGGUCCGAUUCCCGAUUUCGUUCAUCGGACUGUCGAUCCGAAGGUUGAGGGUUCGAGACCCUUCGGCCUCG